rnacentral:rRNA from 1 species
CAGCAGCCGCGGGAACACGGAGGGUGCAAGCGUUAUCCGGAUUCACUGGGUUUAAAGGGUGCGUAGGCGGAUUCUUAAGUCCGUGGUGAAAUCUCCAAGCUUAACUUGGAAACUGCCAUGGAUACUAUUAGUCUUGAAUGUUGUGGAGGUUAGCGGAAUAUGUCAUGUAGCGGUGAAAUGCAUAGAUAUGACGUAGAACACCAAUUGCGAAGGCAGCUGGCUACACAAAUAUUGACGCUGAGGCACGAAAGCGUGGGGAUCAAACAGGAUUAGAUACCCCGGUAGUCCCUGUCUCUUAUAC